UAAAUGAUGAUUACCUUAAAUACCUUUUGCGGUUUCCACCAGAAAGCCUCGGCUUAAUGAUGGGCUUAGGUGUCUGAUU
rnacentral:snoRNA from 2 species